rnacentral:rRNA from 1 species
UGAUAUUCCUGUACCACCUAUAAUCGUUUUAAUCGAUGGGGGGACGCAGUAGGAUAGGCGAAGCGUGCGAUUGGAUUGCACGUCUAAGCAGUAAGGCUGAGUAUUAGGCAAAUCCGGUACUCGUUAAGGCUGAGCUGUGAUGGGGAGAAGACAUUGAGUCUUCGAGUCGUUGAUUUCACACUGCCGAGAAAAGCCUCUAGAUAGAAAAUAGGUGCCCGUACCGCAAACCGACACAGGUAGUCAAGAUGAGAAUUCUAAGGUGAGCGAGCGAACUCUCGUUAAGGAACUCGGCAAAAUGACCCCGUAACUUCGGGAGAAGGGGUGCUCUUUAGGGUUAACGCCCAGAAGAGCCGCAGUGAAUAGGCCCAAGCGACUGUUUAUCAAAAACACAGGUCUCUGCUAAACCGUAAGGUGAUGUAUAGGGGCUGACGCCUGCCCGGUGCUGGAAGGUUAAGAGGAGUGGUUAGCUUCUGCGAAGCUACGAAUCGAAGCCCCAGUAAACGGCGGCCGUAACUAUAACGGUCCUAAGGUAGCGAAAUUCCUUGUCGGGUAAGUUCCGACCCGCACGAAAGGCGUAACGAUUUGGGCACUGUCUCAACGAGAGACUCGGUGAAAUCAUAGUACCUGUGAAGAUGCAGGUUACCCGCGACAGGACGGAAAGACCCCGUGGAGCUUUACUGUAGCCUGAUAUUGAAAUUCGGCACAGCUUGUACAGGAUAGGUAGGAGCCUUUGAAACGUGAGCGCUAGCUUACGUGGAGGCGCUGGUGGGAUACUACCCUAGCUGUGUUGGCUUUCUAACCCGCACCACUUAUCGUGGUGGGAGACAGUGUCAGGCGGGCAGUUUGACUGGGGCGGUCGCCUCCUAAAAGGUAACGGAGGCGCUCAAAGGUUCCCUCAGAAUGGUUGGAAAUCAUUCAUAGAGUGUAAAGGCAUAAGGGAGCUUGACUGCGAGACCUACAAGUCGAG